rnacentral:rRNA from 1 species
AUUGAACGCUGGCGGCAGGCCUAACACAUGCAAGUCGAGCGGAUGAAGGGAGCUUGCUCCUGGAUUCAGCGGCGGACGGGUGAGUAAUGCCUAGGAAUCUGCCUGGUAGUGGGGGAUAACGUCCGGAAACGGGCGCUAAUACCGCAUACGUCCUGAGGGAGAAAGUGGGGGAUCUUCGGACCUCACGCUAUCAGAUGAGCCUAGGUCGGAUUAGCUAGUUGGUGGGGUAAAGGCCUACCAAGGCGACGAUCCGUAACUGGUCUGAGAGGAUGAUCAGUCACACUGGAACUGAGACACGGUCCAGACUCCUACGGGAGGCAGCAGUGGGGAAUAUUGGACAAUGGGCGAAAGCCUGAUCCAGCCAUGCCGCGUGUGUGAAGAAGGUCUUCGGAUUGUAAAGCACUUUAAGUUGGGAGGAAGGGCUGUAAGUUAAUACCUUGCUGUUUUGACGUUACCAACAGAAUAAGCACCGGCUAACUUCGU